UGCUACCAUGCAGUCGACGGAACGAUACUAGCUUGCUAGUAGGCGUCGAGUGGCGGACGGGUGAGUAACGCGUAGGAAUCUGCCUGAUAGUGGGGGAUAGCCCGAAGAAAUUCGGAUUAAUACCGCAUAAUCUAUUCGUAGUAAAGUGGGGGACUUUCGAGCCUCACGCUAUCAGAUGAGCCUGCGUAAGAUUAGCUUGUUGGUAGGGUAAAAGCCUACCAAGGCGACGAUCUUUAGCUGGUCUGAGAGGAUGAUCAGCCACAUCGGGACUGAGACACGGCCCGAACUCCUACGGGAGGCAGCAGUGGGGAAUAUUGGACAAUGGGGGCAACCCUGAUCCAGCAAUACCGCGUGUGUGAAGAAGGCCUGAGGGUUGUAAAGCACUUUCAAUUGUGAAGAAAAGUUAGCGGUUAAUAACCGUUAGCCUUGACGUUAACUUUAGAAGAAGCACCGGCUAACUCCGUGCCAGCCGCCCGGGGG
rnacentral:rRNA from 1 species